rfam:Trachymyrmex cornetzi contig41572, whole genome shotgun sequence.
GCCUCGGUAGUCUAAUGGCUUAGGACGCUCGUACGGAAUAUAAGAGAUUCGGGUUCAAGUCCCGGCUAAGGUA